GAGGAGGAGAAAAAAAGUAAGCUUUGACUAUUGAUGGAUAUCCUUUUUUUUGUAAUUGUUUCUGAGGAUCUCAUUCAUCAGUCUUCUGUGAGAACAUUAUUGGGAAAAUUGAAGGCACUUCAUCACCACAGCUUCCAUACUAGAGCAGGUGAUCCAUUUCAUGAGCCUUACCAGAAUCCUAAAUUGGACUGCAGCCUAGAUGUGUAA
rnacentral:lncRNA from 1 species